AAUAAAGUGCCUGAUAGAAAAAAGGAUUAUUUUGAUAGAAUAAAACAUGUAGUUAAACUACCUUUAUUA
rnacentral:tRNA from 2 species